GCCCACGCCCGCCUCUCCCUUCCCCGCCAGUUUUGAUCAACCCGCACACCUCCCGCUCUCUAGGGUUCCACGGUCCCACCUGUGUCAUCACCUCUCCUAUCCAAUAUACCACCUCAUCGUUGUCUCACACGUUCCUUCCCAACUCCACAGUGUAGCCUCUUCGCGACAUGAUCUAGAUCCAAUUUGUUCAUCGUGGGUCUGGUGAAGGAAGGCAUCAACAUGGAGGAGGAAUACUUGGAGAUCGGCAUAUCAGUUAUUUUACAUUACGAUUAGUUUUAUUUUAUUGAUUUGACAAAGUGCUAGAUCUUAAAAUACACGCAAUCUAGUCUUGGAGAUUUGGUUAAAAAAAGUGGGUGUCUUGGAAUAGAUUUAUUUUCUUCCUUAUGCUUUGGAAUGUCAAGUUGGGAGUAUCAUGUAGUCGUUUGAUGUUACAUAAUUUCUUCAGUUUGGUAUAGGAAAAUAAAAACAUUGUUAAAGCGAUUUUUUUCCUAUGAACUCCAUUUGUUGAUCUUAUGAAUCAACAAAUGAAUUGAAUUAGUCUUGAUGAUAGUAGCAUAUAGUUGUUAUCAUGAUUUAUUUUUA